GAUGGUGUGGCUUAGUGGUAAGAGCGCAUGCUUAGCAUUCACAAGGUCCUGGGUUUAAUUCCCAGCACCAGCA
rnacentral:tRNA from 1 species